AAAAGAUUAGUUUAAUAAACAUGAAGCCUCGACCUUCAAAUUCUUAGUAAACAACCUAAGAUCUUUAA
rnacentral:tRNA from 1 species